rnacentral:rRNA from 1 species
AACCUUACUUAUAUUAUCUUCUUGUAUACCGCUGUUUUUGAAUAUACUUUUAGGUAAAAUUUUCUUGAUAUAAAAAUUUAAUAAUAUUUCAAGUCAAGGUGCAGUAAUAUAUAAGUUGAAUAAUGGAUUACAAUAAAUUUUAUUUAAAUGGAUUGUUACUGAAAGAUAAUUUGAAGGUGGAUUUAAUUGUAAUUUUAUAAAGAUUAGUAAAAUGAUUUAAAGCUCUAUAAUAUGUACACAUCGCCC